GACGUAGGGGGCGAGCGUUGUCCGGAUUUAUUGGGCGUAAAGAGCUCGUAGGCGGCUCAGAAAGUCGGGUGUGAAACCUCCAGGCUCAACCUGGAGACGCCACCUGAUACUGCUGUGGCUAGAGUCCGGUAGGGGAACACGGAAUUCCCGGUGUAGCGGUGAAAUGCUUAGAUAUCGGGAGGAACACCAGUGGCGAAGGCGGUGUUCUGGGCCGGAACUGACGCUGAUGAGCGAAAGCGUGGGUAGCAAACAGG
rnacentral:rRNA from 1 species